AUUGAACGCUGGCGGUAGGCCUAACACAUGCAAGUCGAACGGAGUGGCGGAAGGGUGAGUAAUGUCUAGGAAUCUGCCUGGUCGUGGGGGAUAACGUCCGGAAACGGGCGCUAAUACCGCAUACUAUCAGAUGAGCCUAGGUCGUAUUAGCUAGUUGGGGGGGUAAAGGCCUACCAAGGCGAAGAUCAGUAACUGGUCUGAGAGGAUGAUCAGUCACACUAGAACUGAGACACGGUCCAGACGCCUCCGGGAGGCAGCAGUGGGGAAUAUUUGACAAUGGGCGAAAGCCUGAUCCAGCCAUGCCGCGUGUGUGAAGAAGGUCUUCGGAUUGUAAAGCACUUUAAGUUGGGAGGCGUUACCAACAGAAUAAGCACCGGCUAACUUCGUGCCAGCCGCCGCGGUAAUUC
rnacentral:rRNA from 1 species